rnacentral:rRNA from 1 species
AGCAGUGGGGAAUUUUCCGCAAUGGGCGAAAGCCUGACGGAGCAAUACCGCGUGAGGGAGGAAGGCUCCUGGGUUGUAAACCUCUUUUUUCAGGGAAGAACAAAAUGACGGUACCUGAGGAAUCAGCAUCGGCUAACUCCGUGCCAGCAGCCGCGGUAAUACGGAGGAUGCAAGCGUUAUCCGGAAUGAUUGGGCGUAAAGCGUCCGCAGGUGGCUGUGUAAGUCUGCUGUCAAAGAGCGAAGCUCAACUUCGUAAAGGCAGUGGAAACUACAUGGCUAGAGUGCGUUCGGGGCAGAGGGAAUUCCUGGUGUAGCGGUGAAAUGCGUAGAGAUCAGGAAGAACACCGGUGGCGAAG